rnacentral:rRNA from 1 species
AGAAUCAACGCUGGCGGCGUGCCUCAGACAUGCAAGUCGAACGCGAAAGUUCCCUUCGGGGAGCGAGUAGAGUGGCGCACGGGUGAGUAACACGUAGGUAAUCUACCUUUGGGUGGGAAUAACAGCCGGAAACGGCUGCUAAUACCGCAUAAUGCAGCGGCUCGACAUCGAGACAGUUGUUAAAGCGGGGGAUCGCAAGACCUCGCGCCUAAAGAGGAGCCUGCGGCGGAUUAGCUAGUUGGUGGGGUAAUGGCUCACCAAGGCAUCGAUCCGUA